UUUAUAUGGCAGAAUUGGCCAAUAAUGCUUUGGUCGAGUGACGCUGUUGCGCGCGAAAAUCGAGAGAUCGAUCGAUCGUUCUGCGUCGCGACCGUCCAAGAGUGCGUUUGUCUGCUGCGUGCAUGUGCUGUGGUUGUGUGGUACUACGUUUCGGUGUAAUGCUUUUGAUUUUCGGGUGAAAAAAUUUCCGAUCUAGCAACGAUUAUGACGAAAUCUGUACCCGACAGAUGGCUCGAGUACAAACCGUACGGAGAAGUGAUCAAGGGCACGAAAAUUUUGCCGUUUAAAGUACCGCUAAAGGAAGCUGUAGUCAACAACUUAACGCCCGAGCAAAGAUUCACAGCAACGAUACUGCUGCAAGCGUUUCCACGCCUGAAAUGUAUCGUCGAUUUGACCAAUACAGAACGUUACUAUGACAAAAAGGAAUUCACAAACGUUGGUGUGAAGCAUGAGAAGAUAAUGAUACCUGGGAAGAGGGUACCUCCACAAAAUAGCGUUAUGAAAUUCUUUAAAGCGAUGGACGAUUUCAUGGCAAGCGCCGAGGAGGACGAUGUCAUAGGAGUACACUGUACGCACGGUAUAAACCGCAGUGGGUAUCUUAUUUGUAGGUAUCUCAUUCAACAACUAGGCUGGGAACUUCAAGAUUCUUUAAAAGCUUUCGAGGAGGCACGUGGGUAUCCGAUCUAUCGUGACGCAUACGUUGCUGCCCUGAAGGAGAUACCACGUGGUGAAAAGGUCGACACAAAUAAAAUCAACCUAUCCAAUCCAUCGAAUAAUCGUAAAGAGAACUAUUCGAUACCUGUAAGAAGAGUGCUCGAUCAGUAUCGAUUAAGACUGAAACAUCCAAAAGGGAGACCAGUGCCAUAUCCGAUGGGUCCGCCGCCAGGAUUCAAACCACACCGUCGUGGAUUUACGAAUGGUGCGCCCUAUCAUCCACCUCAACCUUUCGGUUUCGGUGCUCCACCACCUGGAUUUGGUUCGAUGCCUCCACAUCCGCCUGGUAUGCCACUUCCACCUCCACCAGGUCCACCGAUGUACGGUCCGAGACCUUUGAGAUAUGGACCACCGCCUCCUCCACCACCACCAUCCGCCAUGAGAGCACCUAUGCCACCACCGCCAGGUCCAGGCUUUCAUCCACCAGGCUUUCCACCGCGUUUACCAGGUCCACCAAGAAUGACCGGUCCACCUAGAUUACCACCGGGUCCGCCAUCUCGAUUACCACCUCCAAAAAUGCCUCCGCCUCCUCCACCACCUCCGCCACAAAGUAGGCAGGCGGUUGUCGUUAAACGAUUACAAGCUCACAAAAAGAAACAUCAUAAUCAGCAUCAACAGCAACAGAUCAGAAACGGCAGGGUGGUACCUCUUAGGAGUUCGAUGAGACUGACAAGGCGCGAAGUCAGUACGGCCAGAAGAAUUAGAAAUAUCGAUUCAAAAAUUACCAAGGAACAGGACUUCACUGUAGAUACCUUCGAGGAAAAUCUUUUGGCUGUUUCAUCCACGAACGCACAUUUGCGACGGCCACUAAAAGGACGAUACCAUCAGACUAAGUGAUGAUGUGUUAUCUAGGAGGGGCGAUUUAUCAUUUAAAAAACUUACAAUAUGUUGUGUAAUAAUGUAAUUCACACCACACGCCCAAGGUGUUGCUCUAAAACCCCGUAUGGCGACAUUUUUCAGAUAGAAGAAAAAAGAAAAUGUGAUUUUUGCGAUCUCACCGUUCCUUUCUUUACGAACGGUUACAAGUAGACGCGAGAGAAUGUGAAGAGUUUAAAACGGAUAAACUUCUAUUUCUCUCGGUCUUAAUUCCUAAUACGCAUAAAAAUCAAACGAAGGAUCUUUGUUGAUUCUUUGUUCGCCUUGUCGAUUCUUUAGACGUUUAUGUAUUUCGACUAAAAAUCUAUAAUCUGUUGAAAUAUGUUAUCGUCGUCUUUCCAUUCGAACAACAUGGCUCUCAUUGUCGGGAAAAAUCUUUACUGGAUGCUACUACAACUACUACUACUACUACUACUACUACUACUACUACUACUACUACUACUACUACUACUACUACUACUACUACUACUACUACCUACUACUAUUACUACUACUACUACUACUACUACUACCUACUACUAUUACUACUACUACUACUACUACUACUACUACUACUACUACUACUACUACUACUACUACUACUACUACUACUACUACUACCUACUACUACUACUACUACUACUACUACUACUACUACUACUACUACCUACUACUACUACUACUACUACUACUACUACUACUACUACUACUACUACUACCACUACUACCACUACUGCUGCUACUACUGCUACUACUAUUACUAUCACCACUACUACUAUUACUACUACUACUUUACGUUUAAGACUAUGUUCGACAUUGACAAAUAAACGCACUUUAUUGGAAUUCGACGAUGUUCUUAGGAGAAAUAGAAGAACUACGAGUACAACAACGAUGCGAACGACGAUGACGACGAAGACGACGACGCAGACGAAGACGAAGACGAAGACGAAGACGAAGACGACGACAACAACGACAACGAAGACGAAGACGAUCGAAACUGGAAAGCUUCGUCGAGGUGAAAAGAUCGUCGCAUAGACAACUGAGACGUGUAACUUCUACUAGAAAACGUGUAAAUCCUGUAAAAAGUUUUCUAAUCUCGAUCGUCUCACGAUCGUUAAAAAUCGGGACAAUAUUUUUUCAAUCCGGAUAUUGCUCGAUAUCUAAUUUAGUUAGAUAUUAGUUUUAUCAACGUAUUUUCUCAAUAUUUUGAGAUAAAGAAAUAGAAGAAAAAGCGAGAAGAUCAAAGAUUUCAUUCAGUUUAUACAAUUGUUCUUAGACAAUUUCCAAAUUUUGAUGGUAUUACGAGAAGUUGUGAAACUUACGUUUAUCGUAAUCGAAUACACGAAUUACAUGGAAUAGAUUUCGGAAAAAAUUACAGUAAAAGUGAUAAUCGCUCGAUCUAACUACCGUGCGAUGGUCCAAAACGGCCUCGUUGAUGCGUCUCGCCGCUAGUGGUUCGAACUUUUCGAAUAAUUCGUAAAAAGCUGAGGAGGGACAAACAAGUCCAUAAAGAGUGUGCUUUCUCUGCGUUUCCUUUUCUGUGCUUUCACGAUUCCUUCCUUUUUGACUCUCUCUCUCUCUCUAUCUCUAUCUCUGUCUGUCUCUCUCUCUCUCUCUCUCUCUCUCUCUCUCUCUCUCUCUCUCUCUCACUCUUUUCGUUUUAUUCAGAGUUUCUCCUUUCGAUCAGUCUUUCAGUCGAAGUUUAACGUUCGUUCGAGGUGCGAUAGAUCGAGAAGAACCACGAUAUAACUCGAAUUCGUACUCUCGAACGGUAUCGAUCCAUCUUUCUGUUUCUUUCCCAAAUAUUUCUUCUUUUCGUACUUUUGAAAAACAUUCUGGGCCUUAUCACUUGAUACAAUUUUAACUUACGCACGGAAAAAUAUAUCCUUUUUUUUCUAUAAUCCAGAUCAAUUUUUAUUACAUUCUCUCUUGUUUUUAUUCGAUUUUUCUUCAUCUUCCGACGAUAAUAACGGAGUUAUUAUUGUGUUCUCCUGUACAUAUUUCUCUCUCUCUCUCUCUCUCUUUCUCUCUAUUCUAUUCUAUCUUCUUCUUAUCUAAAAAAUUAUUUUCUCGCUCGAGGAAGAAUUCGCGGAAGAAGGGUUGGUUUCUCUCGGGAUACGAAGAAAUCUUGGAAACUACUUGCCGUAAUUUUUUGAAAAAAAGGAUGGAGAGAGAGAGAGAGAGAGAGAGAGAGAGAGAGAGAGAGGAAAAAAGAGAGAAAAAAGGAAAGGUUGCACUCUUCAGCCGAUCUGGCAAUUAGUCACGAUUAAUUCCUCAAAAAUGAGAAGGGACGUGCACGUGUCUGCGGUAGGUAAGGAUACACGGGUUGAAUCCUCUGAGAGUCGAAUAAUAGGAGGCUAAAGGCUAACCACACACGAGGCCAUCACCAGAAUAGUCUACCUUCCUCUUUCGUUCUCUCUCUCCCAUACACAUACGUAUACAUACACAUACACGUCGUCUCUUUUCUAUCAUCGUACACGGUAUUUGAUUUACACGCUAGUAUGCGUGCUUCAUUGGCACGCCAAUAUGAUACGUGGCAGUGCACUUUAAUGCCACGACGCGGCCUACUUAGCGGUCGGCUUGAUUAACAUGGAGUGAUUAAUAGUCCGCUCCCUCUCGUCCAUAAGCAACCCUAUGGCAGAACAGCCGCAAUGCCGCCAUUGGAGAUCUAAUCGCACGAUAUUUAUUGCCUUACGCGUCGUCCACCGUACAUAGGAAGAGAGAGAGUGAGAGAGAAACAGAAAGAAAGAGAAGGUUCCUACUUGUUUUUUUUUUGGCCACACCGAUUUUGCGAAUCUCUUCUCGGUCUUUUUCAUUUUUUUCUUCUCCCUUCUUUUCAUUUUACGACGGACCUUCCAUGAUCUUCGGAACGAUCUUAACCACCCCUUUCGAAUCGGUGAAAUCGUGGUAAGAAAGAUGAAAAAUCAUAGCAAGUUCGGAGAUAAAUAUUUGUUAUCAAUUAAUCGGCUUCUUUUUUCAUAUUUUUCUUUUUUUCUUUAUUUAUUUAUUUAUUUAUUUAUGUAUUUAUUUAAUUUUUUUUCUUUUUCUUUUUUUUUUUUUAACGAAUACACGCUUUUCCUUUAUACGUACGUACACGUUUUGUUACGUGUGCAGGUACCGUACAGACGUUGAAACUUUGCGUCUCGUGAUAAAAUUAGAUUUGUUCGAGCGAGAAGAGGCCGUCGACUGUGCUUCCUGUAAAUUCGGGAUAAUACCGACGUUGGCUUUCGCACGGGAGACACAUCGUCUCCCAUUUACUCCCCCUUUAACGUGUUGCGUCAGCGUAACGUUGGCGCCGCAUUCGUCUGUCGAAAGAUCUUUAGCCUUGUUUACAGUUCCAACUCUCUGGCGAUCCACGAUUAUAUCGACUUCUCGAUGCACCAACGGAUCAGGUCGUGGACCUGGAAAGAAAAGAGAAAACAGAUGAUACGAAGUUUCUCUCGGUACGAUCGGAUCGAACUCUUUACGAAUUCGUCAAUUAUUAUUUUCGAACUAGUAGAUUAAGUACUUCAAAUGUAUUUGUACGUAUAUUAAUUCGAUUACUCGGCAGAAACUCGUGAAUCAUGAUAAUAAUAAAGCAUAUUACGAUGAUAUUAGAACGUGUCUCUCUGACGCACGAUCCGAUGACGUAAAGGAAAAAGCGAUUCUGGCAUGUUACGAUAACAAUAGUUGGAAUUUUUCACCGUUUCUUCUUCGAGCCACUAUGUCGUCCCCCUUCUUCAGCCCCCUACCUCACUCCACCUCAUUCCCGAUUCGUUCUUUCAUCAUUUCAUCUCUUUCUCAUUUAUAAAAAUGAUUUAUAAAUAUCGCUUCGUUAUACAUAGUUCGAGAGAAAAUGAUACGUCAAACGUUGUUGGAUCGGAUUAAAUUUGGCAUCGUUCAAUUCUAUAUUUCUCAUCGUUAAAUUCACGUGUGUAAAAGAUUCGUAUGUGUACGAUAGAAUUCAUUCUGGGAACGUUCAUUAGAAAUGUAUGCUUUGACCGACCUUUGAUAUCAGUAGGGUCAAUAGGGUGAGAAGAAAUUCUAUAUAAAAACGUUUCGUUGAUUUUUAGGGAAAUGAUUAGGUAUCUUUUUUUUUUUUUUUUUUUUCGUUGAAUCGAGAGAGACGGAUAAUUUUGUUCUCGUUCUUGCGAAUUAUCGACGAAAUAUCUUUUAUUAGACACGUGUUAUAGUUUAUGGAGAAAAAGUGUAUGGUAUUGGAUAUAUGGUAAACAUCAGAGGUAUACUUCGUUCGUUGUUAAGUCGAAUCAUUCUCGAAGGAAUAGAAAAUAAGAAAGAGGAGGAGGUAUAUGAAAGAAUCGAGCUCUCGUAAUACUAUCGAAGCUUAUCGAAGGCGGUACCAAACGCGACUGGCGGUAGCCCGAGGCCACUUAUUUAACAUCGACGUCGAUAGAGUCGUUGCACGUUCCUGUCGUUGGAUAGUCGUCGUUUUCUGCUUACUUUAUUUAUGCGUUCCGUGACUUCUUAGACAAUGCGACGAUAAUUAAGACGUUCUACGUAAUUAACGAUUAGCCGUGAGUUAUAUUAACAAUACGCGUGAAUUCUCGCUAGGCUAUGUGUAAUAUAAGAGAAACGUUUACCGACUCUUGAUGAUAACGUUGUGUCGGUGAAAUGUAUCAAAAAAUUUGUUUUUAAUGUGCCAGCGUUCUUUCCUCGCGAUCAGUAAUCAUGUUUUUCUCGUUGGAAUAAGAACAAGACGAAGAUUGUUUCGUGUAUCGUAUAUGCGUAUAAUUUUCUUCUGACAAUAUUCUUUCGGUAAGUCCUUCAUUGUUUCAUACAAAUUUUUAACGCGUAACAUUAAAAUCCGUUUUCCAAUUGGAUUUUGUUACGUCAUCAACGUACUUCCACGAUCGUCACGUACUUUUUCAUGUUAUUAUUAAUUAUCACGAACGAGAUUUUCGAGUGUUUAUUCGUUGACGAUUGCGUGGGCUUGAAUAAACUUUCAAACGGGUGUCGUAAAAGUGUAAACAGGCGCGCGCGAAUCGAAUGGCGGAUACAAGUUAAAUUAUUAAAUAGUAUUAAUUACAAGGCCAUGAGAUAAUCAUUAUGAAACGUACCGUUUUAAUUCGUUUUAUCGUGAUAUCGAUGUACUUUGAAACGUUCUUAUAAUUAAUCAUCUUCUCUCGAACUCUUCUUAUCUUAUAUCGCUUAAAAUGUUAAUUAAUUACUUGCUACUCAUCGUCAUUAAUCUUCUUCGCUAUUAGACAUUUCUUCCUUACGUCGUUCUUGUUCAUCUUGUUAAACGGUACAUAGUAUCUGAGCUCGACAAAUAAACUUUGCGAUAUUUGGAACGCCGUUCGUGAGAAGAAUUUGAGGUUGCAGCUAACAUAAGCGCGAGAAGUGCAUGUUCCCUCGUAUAUACGGGAUCGUCGAGCUACGGCCUUAUUAUCCUCGAGAGCUCUUUGAUCGAUACGCUGGGAUAUCGAUAGCGGUCGCGAUGCUAUCGUGCGGGUAGGCUGGAACAAACGUGAACGGUGUAACGUUACACAAAGACCAUGAUGCAUGGCCGUAAGGGGUACAUGCUUGGAGAAAUAUAUAUAUAUACAGAAAAAGAGAGAGAGAGAGAGAGGAAGAGCGAACACGAUUUUUUUAUCGUAGAAAUAUCAUAGAUAGAGAAAGCUGACUUUUUUUCCCUACAUGAAAAAUCAUAAAAGAAAAUUCUCCGUAAGAAAGAUUAUAUGAUCGAAGAAACAACACGUAUAUAUCGUCGAUAUUUCGUUUUAACUUUUACCGUACGAUAAAAUGAUGAAAAAGUUACAAAUUGUUCGCUAAGAAGAAAAAAAAAACGACGCGAGAUAAUCGCAAAUGUUUUCUUUCUCUCUUAAACGACCAUCUUCUCCAUUAUAUUUAUAGAUUCAUUUUUUUUCUUUCUCCUUUUCUUUGAUACCGUACCUUCUCUUCCCUCUCUCUCUCUCUCUCUCUCUUACUCCAUCGUAAGAAUCGAGCGGAACUCACGUAUCUCCCAACGUAACCGCCGCCAGUGACAUGGAAAACUGUGAGAUCGGAAAGAACAGAAGAGAAGGAAGAAGGACGGCAAAGGAUAAAGACACUGACAAUCUAGGUCGACUCGUGGUCGCGACGUAGGCGUUUCUAAUGCUCUGUGGCCGACACCAAUGUCUAUCUCUCUUUCUAUCUCUCUCUUUCUCUCUCUUUUCUUUCGAAUCUAGGAUUCAAGGCAAGCCUUGGUGAUUCUAAUGGAACGGGAGGAAGUCAAUGCCUUUUCCCGAUGGUAGAUUUUCUAGAGCAAAAAAAGUAUCAACCUCGAAGUUGAAUCUUCCGUCGAAACGAAAUCCAAUUCUUUCUCGAACAUAUGGUCUCCAAUCUUAAUAAGAUUUUCGUUAUUGCCCGUACAGUUUCGUCUCUCUUUCAACGUUGACAUUUACGUAACGUGCACUGAAAUAUCUAUUGAAAAUUAAAAAAAAAAAAAGAAAGAAAAUAGGAGAGAAAGAUAAGAAGGAUAAAGUUAGACCCUCGUUUCGAGAUUUUGUUCAUUUUCAUUAUCAAACAAUCUUCUCGCUUCUUUGCCGAUUCGACAGAGAAAAAGAAAGAAAGAGAGAGAGAGAGAGAGAGGAAAGGAAUACCUAUUCAAAGAAGGGUAGAGAGGAGGAGGGGUAAUAACGUAGGUAGCCUACGGCCUUAGCGAUGAUUAAUAAAUCAGGGAUGGCGUUGAGAGAACAGUUUAACCUACGACCUCGCUGCGAUGCAUCCUACUCUUUCUCUCCCUCUCACCCUCCCAUCUUCCCUUCCUUUUCUCUUUCUCUUUCUACUUCUUUCCUCGUACUCCUUUUCUCUCUCUUUCGUCGCACUCUCGCAUCGUUUUCACGAAGAGAUACCUUUCGUAGCCUUUUCGAGGAGGCUCCUCUCUAUUCGCUCAGGGCAACGCGGAUGCUUUUUUCUGUGGGAAGAAGCGGACUUCGAAUGUUAAUCGUUGUUUAAAUUUAUGACAGUGCCCUCUUCUCCGUUCUUCUCUGCAUCCUAUUCUUACCUCUUUCUCUCUGUCUCUCUUUCUCCUUAUUCGUUCGAGAUUCUCAUCGCAUCGCAGAGAGAAGCAUUCUUAUUCCACUUCCAUUCGUUUCGGCAAACUCUCACCCCUCGAAACGAACUCGGUGAUUAGCACGUUCUUCGAGAGACUCUUAACGGAGAAAGUCUUUGGAGAGUUUAAGAGAGAGAAAGAGAGAAAAGAAAGAAAAAGGGAAAAACGAAGGAACGAUCGCUUGCAUUUGGCACUCCGCGUGGUACUUCGAACUUGAGAAGCGCGGGAAUUCUAGAUAUGUAUAUACCGUGAAAGAGCAAUCUUCGAGAGAUGAUGUUUACGACGCUUAAUUAAAGCGGCGUCUAUUGAAUCGAUAACACGGUAUCGACGCUCGUUACGUGGAACGCUCGGGAAGAGAUUUUACUCUUCGAGAAAACAACCUCCUCGCGUACUCUUUUAUUUCCCUUCGAAAGUUUAUUUUACGACGUUCCUCUUUUCUAUGUGAAAAUUAGAAUAUAUAUAUAUUUUUUUUAGAAUAUCCUUUAGAAUAUUUUUUUGCACACACGUAUAAGCGUUCUAGUGAUUUUUCUUUUUCGAGGAAAGUAAACGUGUCUCUAUCUAUACGGAUACAAGUUGUUACGUAUACAUGUACGCGUUACAAUAGUAAUGGUUUGGUGUUGGUGGUGGACUUGGAGUGACUCAGAAAUUCCUGGAAGAGGACUGACAGGCGAAAUGGGUCAGACGUGGUACACUUAAUAAAGGCAGAGAGAAUAACGUUACGGGGUCCAGUGAUUAUCAUAUGAAUUGGUGGGUAGCGUCAAAAGAGGAGGAACGUUCGUGGUAUCACUUCUGCACGAACGUAACCACACACGAUUACUCACACUUGUAUAUUCUCCCUAGUUGAGAGACUAUUGUGUGUGGUCCCGACGUGUGUGCGUGCGUCUGUCAUCGACUGUCAGCCGAGGCUAGUUUGACGAGCCAUUGCUCACCUCCUGUCAACGCGUGUUUUAACACACAACUCAUAAGCGAGUAAUACGUACGUGUCGUUUCGAUGUGUGCAUUCGUUACACGCGUUCGACCGGUUUCACGAUCACGUCGCGACGAUCAUCACAUCGUCUCUAUCAUUUUUUUUUAAUUAUUUUUCUUUUCUUUUUCUUUUUUUUCAUUUCUCUUUCUUUCUCUCUCUACCUCUCUUUCUCUCUGUCUUUUUCUUUCGCUUCUAUAUCAUCCUGUGGAUUCUUCGCUAUCCCUUCUCUUUCUUUUUAUCUCUUUCGCGGUCUAUCCAUCUACGUCUUGUCACCGUCCAGUUCGCCAUUCGCGAUUCGAUCGUCGUCGUCGUCGUCGUCGUCGUCAUCGUGUCUCUCUCUCUCUCCCUCUCUUCCUCUAUGGCCGCAUCGAAGCCGGAGGGACAAGAGGAGAGAGAGGGAUGAUAGAGCCAUGACAGGGACAAGGCCUGGCGACGUGCCGUUGACGCUUCAUCCGUUCCCCUCGCUCGACUGACGUCUUAAUUGUAAACCGAUAAUCGACCGACCAUCGCUCGCGAGACUCGUUCUCUUGUAUUUCGAUAGUUCUUCUCGUGCUGAAGCAGCAAACAUCGGCUUCGUUGUAUUUUUGGAACUUUCUUCUUGUUUCGUACAGGUGCAAUGGAACUGGUUGUGCUUCUGUUGUAUUAGGAAAGAACGUGUCCUUCGUUCUUCUUCUCCUUUGUACAUUCUAUCCUUUACAUUUGUAAUUUGUGUUUUUUCUUUUUUCUUUCUUUCCUUUCCUCUCUGAAUUUUAUUUUCGUUUAAUUUCAUAUCAUACUUAUGAUAUCUUAUCGCUAGACAAUAUCAUUUUAAAAAGAUUUUCGCUUGUGUUCGUAAUGGGAAUGCUUUGCCCCAGACACGAUGACGCAUUCACGAGCAGAUUAAUUCGAAAUAUCAAGGAUCUCAAAGGAACGUGACCCUCGGUUAAGACGCAUUCACCGUCGGCGAGCGACAAAACGCAUCUCCUCGACAAAGCGCACUUCCUUGAAUCGUAAAGACGCAAGUGAAGUUCCGCGACUUAACGGUACUACGGCAAGAGAAUUAAUAAAAUCAUUUUUGUUCGACGUACGACGUAAGUACGUUGGUAUGUAACAUGUAAAGGAACGUUCGUUCAUUGUCAACGACGAAGUCAAGAGUUGUUUCUCGAAUUAAAUCGAACGAUUUCUCUUCCUGAAUCGAAGUUGACGAGUUAGCCAGACAUUACCGAUCCAAUAACAACUUUCAUCUCGUGAAUAUACACGUCCUGAAAAUUGACGCGAGAUAAGAUUGACGAUGAGUUCUAAUAUCGUUAGAAGAGAAGAAUAUGAAAGGGAGUCUAUCGAAUUCGAAGGUUCUCAGGUAUAGGUCGACAGUAUCGAAGGAGAUAGAAACUUUUGAGUUAGUUCGACGAUAGGAAACGUCACGUGAAAUCGGUCGUUGUCUUUGACGACUUAGUCGAGGAGAUCUCGAGAUUCUCGAAGAAGUUAGGAAUCGAUUAUUAGUCAAUUUACUAAACUCCUGCACGUGCAAAAGAAGAAAGUAGAAAUUUGUGUUACUCGAGAAGAACCGCUAUGAAAAAUAUGGAAAUGAUUUUUGGAGUAUCGGCAAACUCUCUUCUUGGAUAUUCGUGGAGUUCGUAAAAAGAAUCACGAGGAAUGUAAUUCGAUGUGUACGUGUAACGACUGGUCGGUCGGUCGUUCGUCGUCGAUCGUUUAAAAAACGAAGAGCAAGUCGAGAGAGAGAGAGAGAGAGAGAGAGAGAGAGAGAGAGAGAGAGAGAAACCAUCGUUUUCUCGAACAUCGAUUUCUCGAACAUGCUUGUCGUCCUCGUCGUUGAGUUCGGCUCACUGCCUCUUUUUCUUUCGAUGCCGAUGCCAGGUAGACGUAAUAAUGUCAUUAUUAAUGUGAGGAAUUUUUACGACGCGUUAAUUUGCCGCCAUUCUACGUUUCGCGUCGUACUCACGACUCGCGGUCAAUAAAUUGUUUUAAUUAGAGGAGAAAUCGCAUGAGAUCGUAAGAUCCGUGCAAAUCUUUGCGCCGUAAACAAAUUAAGAGGUUUGGAAAACGAGUGGAACGAGAGACAGAGAAUAACCGGUCUUUAUUUCUCUUUCCCGUAAUUUCGAUUUGCGAACUACCAUCGUUCGACGAAAAUUUCUUUUCUCUUUUUUUACUUCGAUUCGUUAAAUAAAGUACGACGAGUACCUCUAUCUCUUUCAAAGAAUUGUCAUAUUUCUCACGAUAAAAGUUACUUUCUCGUAUAGCCUUACUAUUCUAUAUCUUUCUUUAUCUCCUUAUCCGUCUCUCUCUCUCUCUCUCUCUGUUUCUCUUCCUCUCUUUCUUUCUAAAAACGAUCGUAGCUAUGCAAAACUAUGCAAAUGUACGAGCGAGCCUCCGGUCUUCGUAGAUUCGAAAGAAAGGAAAUGAAAAUGAAUGAGAUGAUGCACUCCCUCCUAUACCAUGCCAAGAGGGAUGAUCCAACGAUAUCUAGAAUUUUUUUUUUUCUUUUACGUUUCGAACAAUGAAACUGUUUCGUGCUUACGGCAGUAUUUUCUUUUUUUAAUUGUUUAAACAAUAAGUCCCAUUAAUUUAUGCGUUAAAGGUACGAAGCGUUCAUACGUUAAUUAAAAUGAUUUCGUUUAAUUUAAUGUAUAUGUAUAUGUUCUAUGUUUAAAAUCGAUCGUAUAUCAUCAAUACAUUGUUAUCAAAAUGAAAUAAAAGUCACAAGACGUUCGUUGACUCAUCAUUGACUCAUACAGGUGAUGUAAACAAACAAGGUACGAGAUAUUUCUCGGGAGUGCUAGGAUAUCAGGACGUUCGAGCAGUCUAGUCGGAGCCUUCGUCCUGUAAACAUCAAGUCACACAAGAGAGAAACAAAGAGCAACGUUCCGUUUAACAUCGUUUUCUACAUCUUAUAUUAUCGACUAAAUUUAAGGGAAUUAAUAUCGAUUACGAUUACUAUUAAGGUUAGUUAGCGUUCAUUACUAUUAUCUUUAAGCUACAUUACGAAUAAUUCUAUAAUAAUCUUGAGGGAUCAAAUGAACAAACAUCUUCAAGAGAGAUUUAUAUUCUCGUCGUUGUAUUUUUAGAUCGUUAAUAUUAACGUAAAUUAAGUCAACUUACGGGUACUUCAAUAUACAUAUAUCACAAAUAUUAUCUAUUAUACUUUGAGAAUUUCUAACGUUUCGUUUCUUAGUUAUAAUACAUAUGUACGUUGGGGAUUACGUUACAAAGAUAGAGAAGGCGAGACAAAGGCGAUAGAGAGCGUCCUCUCAUUAGAAACUAUCACAAUAGUUCGUAGGAACAAAUGACGCCGUUAGAUCAAGAAAGGAGAAAGAGUCAAGACGUUAAGGGUAAUUCGAAGAGAUUCGAAAAGCCUACUCUCUUUUAGUUGCCGUUGUUCUUUCUCGACGUAGUAUCGCCAGACGACGUUGCAUCACGAAGAUUUAUAAUCGACUCCUACGCUCUUAUUACGAUUUCCUUUCAUUGCUCUUACGAUCUAACGUUUGCCUUUAUAACCGUCUUUCUUCGAACAAUGCGUCUUUGGACUUGAAACGAUACGUACAACGAGUUCGUUCGUAAAUAUAUAUAUAUAUAUAUGUGUGUGUGUGUGUGUAUGUAUAUAUAUGUACAUAAUAUGUAUAUAUCAAUGUGUAUACAUGCAUAUAUAUAACAUAUAUAAUAUAUAUAUGCAUGUAUGUAUGUAUGUAUGUAUGUAUAUAUGUAUAUAUGUAUUACGUUUAUUCCUUUAAUUUUGAUCUUUUCAUUUUCGCCAUUUGUCCUUGGAACGUGUACAAAUGUACGCACACGUUCAAUAUAGUACGAUAAAAAAAAAGAAAAAUAAAGAGACGAAAAUAUUGUCACGUGUUGUUAUGAUCUAAGUAUUUACAUAGGUAUAGAUAAGUCACGCACGUUCUCUUGUGUAUAAGGAAAGGAAGUUAAAAAAAAAGAAAAAGGAAAACAAAAAGAAAAGAAAAAAGAAGCUUGUACGUAGUAGAUACUCGCGUCGGGUCGAUUCACCGCAGACGCCGGUCUUCGCCAAAAAUAACGUUCAUUGAUUUCGCGUUCUGAAUGAACGAGCUCGCAAAGGAAAAUGAGACAGCGUAGACCCAUCGAAGAAGAGAGGAAGAGAGAGGGAGAUAGUUAUCUAUGGUCAUCGUCGAGAACUAGCGGUAAGAUUUCCAAGAAGUUGGAGAAAGAGAGAGACAACUUUUCUUUCGAUUGCGUUUUGAAAGAACCUCUCCAACAAAUAGAGAUACUUGUCUUAUUCGCCCACGUUUCGUCGUAACGUCAACACUCGAGCCUUUUCUUUAUAUAUCCACCCUCGUGAGCCACCCUCGUCAUAAUUACGCUAUAUCCAUUCGAACGAGAUUAAUAUUUUUAAAUAUUUUUAUAGAUUUUAACGAUGACUUUCGAGCAAUGGUAUAAAUAUAUAUACGCGCGCGCGCGCGCGCGCGCGUGUGUGUGUAUUUAGUUACGAAUUUCGAUAAAAUAUUUAUCAAAUUUGUAAAAAUAGAUAGAAACUGAGAACAGUAUGAUUUUGUUCCCUCUUUUUUUUUCUCUCUCAUUUUUUUUCUCUUCUUUUUCUGUUAAAAAAGAUUACAAAUUACGACGAAGAGGAGAUCUUGAAUUUCCAUACGAUAGCGACGUUUUUGCUUAUCUUUAUCCUCUUACCUAGCUCGUCGUUUAAGAUAGCGUAACGAAGUAUCUGCCUGCGUAGCACGGAUCGUGUGUUUCUCAAUUUGAGAAAAGAAAAAUUAUUCGAAUAAGACGUAAGCUUUUUCAUUGCGAUGUCCGAAGAGUCGACGAACGUUGUUUAUCAAUGAUAUAUUUCGCUUUCGAACUUUUUGUUAAGAUACUUUUUCGCGUUUCGUUUCGGAUCAGAUCGGAUCGGAGGACUCUCUUUUUCUCUUUCAUUAUAGAAGAAUAUAAAAAAGGGAGAAAAUGAUAUAAUAUAUUGGUGAGAAUGGAAAGAUACCAUAACGAUAGAGAUAGAUAUUAAAACUAAAAUUCGUUUUAAAUGUGAAAAGAAAAGGUGGCGUCGAGAUGGCGCGCGACAACGCUAAGCAGAAUCCGCUAUCGGCGAAUCGUAAGGAGAGAGUCGUUUUUACGAGAGACGGAGUUUAAUGGUCUUCUACUACGUGUGGCAUAGAGCAAGCUUGGAACGAACUGUAUAACGGCCUUUAUUAUGAUUAUUUGCGGCUGCACGCCUCUCCCGGCAUCUUGGUACGUAGUACAUACGUACGUGCGUGAGCCAUAGGUAGAACCCCAUGCGUCUCCGAGUUUAUUUUACGCUUACUAUGCUCUCGAGCCUGCCUUAACGUCUCUUCCUCUCUUCUCUUUUUCUCUUUUCUUGCUCGUAUAUACCUACAACGAAACGGUAAUUCCCUUUUCUCGCACGUGACCGAUUUGCUUUUACAAAGUCUCGACAUUUUGUUAGAGUUAUCAUACAACUUUUUAGAAAGGAAAAAGAAUCAAAAAAAAAUAUCGUAUUAAAAAAAGCAAUAUCGAUAGAGUAUUAUUGAUUUCGAUAUUGUUGAAUAUCGGAUUACUGAUUAUAUAAUUCGUCGUGUUAUUGAUACAUGUUUAUGUAUAUAUACACAUACCUAACUAAGUACUUACAUAAAGUACGCACUUGUUAUGAAAAUUUGCGAAAUUCUGUCCCGACGAUAUGUCUGAGUCCUUGAGAAGUCUUUCACGAGUAUAGUGGCGACAACGGCGACGAUGAUGCAAACCGGAUAGCAUUCUUUAAACAAUUGCAUACGCAUAGUCAUACAAUUUGUCGA